AUGAAUGGAUCUAUAUUCAAAGGGACUCGAACUGUACACCGAUCACAAACUCAGACAAAAAUUUUUCACAAAGGCACAAAGCACUGCGCAGAAGCUGCACCAAUCCUUGCCGUCCCUGGCAGCAGAAUGGUAGAAGGUGGGAGAGACCAGGAAUCCUUCCAGGCUGUGCUGACUUUAGAAAUGAGGAUUGCACACGUUUGUCUCCUGAACCAAAAGGGUGAGAAGGCAGGGUGCCAGUUUGCUACACUGCUGCAAUGAUCUCAUGCUCACUGCUGCUGUCGUCCUGUUUGCCCAGUUCAAAUGCCUGUUCAUUAUAAACCAAAAAAAAAAAAAAAAAAAAAAAAACCUACUUGGAUUCUUCAGCAAGCAGAAAGGGUAUUAACGUUUUAAAAAAUCAGCGGUAAGAAAAGGCAAAAAAACAAAAAAAGCACACACAAUUUUAGGAUUCACUUGUUAUGCCUCAAUAUUCUGUUUAUAUGUUCUUUCUUUCUUUCUUUUUUUUUUUUUUUCUAUUUAGAGAUAAGCAGCAGAAUUUAUCAGGCGUGAAAGGGACAGCCUCCUGGUGGCCUGCCAAAAACCCAGAAUAAAGGCGAAGUUGUGCUUCAAAGCUCAGUCGCUUGCUGAGUCUGGCUAAAGUCAAGUAUUAAGAUCCACCAUUUUCUGAGCCAUGCUAGAAAAGAAGAAAAAAGUCAGGACGGUUGCUGCUUUCCAAGUCUCCGUUGGCACCAUCACAAAAUCUCAGUCGUAAGGUCACAUGAUUCUCUGCCAAAUGUAGAGUGCAUUCCCAUCAACCAUUCUGCUGAUACUGCGAAGGCAGCUAUUGUCUCGUUUAGACCCAAAGUUCAGCCCACUCUUCAUUGAAUUAGCUGAAAAACGCAUCACCUUUGGGGGCUGGGAGUCAUGGAAACGUCUACCUGGCAAGCUGCCCACUUUUUCUGCCCAUCAACCAGAGAUGGAAUUGUGCUGCCUAAUGCAAUGAUGACUUGGAAUGUGAAGAGUCGUCCAAAGUGAAUCUGAUUCUUGCAACGCCUGUUUCAGUUUGCACAGAAAACUCUGGCUUCUUGUAGUUAAGGGUGUGUGUGUGCUGGGGGGGAAUCCUUCAGACUAAAUGUAGCAAAUAAAGGUCUGAACAUGCCUACUCCGUAACUUUAUUUCACAACACAAAUGGUUCUCAAAGGAAAAGACUGAAGUCUCUGCAAGUUUUCCCUUCCCCUGCCCCCUUUUCCUUUCUGAGUGAAUGCAACAAGCCCAGGACGUUUGUUUUAGUCCCUUGCAUUAAGAUUGAAAAGCUCUUGAGUUUUGUCUUGCUUUUUAUUACUUUCUGAUUUUUAUCUGGCACCAGUUUUGUACUACACGGCCACAAUAUCCUCCAGCAGCAGUGGGGAUGCAUUAUUGCUUCAAUUUCCGUCAAAGUGGUCCCCUGAGGGAUGCCAGUUGUCUCUUCAACCGCGCACACCCCUGCAACUGGGUCCUGGGGUAAUCCUCAGCAGUACCUAGCACAGCUGCUGUGCAAGUUUGCUAAG
ensembl:lncRNA